UUUAAACCGAUGAACAAGAAGAGUAAGUGAAAAUAUUUAUUCCCAGAGAGCCGUUGUUGGUGGAAAUACGGCAGUAAGAGUUUUCGCUGAAUGGACUUGUGAGGGCAGCUUGAAACCUUCUGGGAAGAGAGUAGACGCUGACGGGAAGCUUAUCCGUUAUCAAGGAGCAGUGUAUGAUAGUACAUGAAAGAGCGGCUCAUAUUACAAUGCGUAUAUGGGCAAUGUGGGUGGUACCGCAGGAGUUGAAACGAUACAGCUCUUGUCCCAUUG
rnacentral:ncRNA from 1 species